AGAGAGCCGCCAAACCGUAUUUUACUUGCAGUACCCAACGUCAGCAGGUAGCCGUAGAGCUGUAGAUUUAAUAGCGAAGACAGUUUGUGUAAUUGAUGAGAACGAGGUAGGGGUGUAGGACGGCCCCUAUCUAAAAUAGAAAUAUAAAGCAGAGUCCAUGAGGUCGCACUCGCUGUACCUGCCACUAAAGUUGGACUACAGAGAACAAUCUGAUCUCUUCUUUUCCACAUGUGAUGGCGCAUUGGUUUCCUUUCCCAUUGGAGCCAAGUUAACUAUACCGACGCUUCUCCACCCCACAGGGACAUUACUGAACAUGAAUCGUCAGUAACACAGUCUGUAUAAAACUCGAAGCAUCUCUGAAGCUACAAAAACAAAGACAUGAGAUCGAUGAACCAUGUGAAUCUUACAAACAAGGAAAGAGUCUGUUGAUCCUGAUCGUGUGCCUGUAAUUACAAAUCUCUUCCUCUAGAUGGCAGUGUAUUAAAUGGUAUGUGUGAUGCAGAAAAGCUUAGCGCAGGAGUGAGGCUGCUGUCCAAGGUACUGAUACUAACAUGGUCUGUCUUGCCUCAAAAUUGUGUCUUCCUGAUGACAUGUACACAGCCUUGGAUUCUUAUUCCAGCUCUCCUGAGUACAACACGCUACCAGUGAGGGUUUUUUAAUGAUGUCACACACAACUCCUCCUCUAACUCUUACUCUCAUCACUGUUCAUCACUCUCGGGGCUUCUGGAAACAAAUGGACUAUGAAAUACAGCAAAGAGACAAUAUGUGCUUUAAAAGGGUCCACUGUGUUUAAGAAUGGCUCUUAUACACACCCAGACCAUCUUACAGUGACAGAAGCCUUUUGGUAUAUAGACCCAGUUAAGAGGAUGAACACCAUUACUGCUACAGAAUCCAAACACGCACAGAGAAAUGGGUGGGUAUUCCUGGAAUACAGCUGAAAUUUACAGGUACAUUUAAUCACCACAUUAUCCUGCUAACAACACAAGCUAUCAUGUCACUUUAAUCUUCAUGGUAUCAUAGUGAUUUAUAGUGACAUAUUCAUGUAGCUCCAUCAGAGGUUUUAUUCCACUGCAACAUCAGGGUUUUUCAGCUCCUGUCCUGGUCUAGAGCUGCACUGCUGGUGUUUUCUCUGCUUUGACACAUCUGAUGAUCUCUUUGACUUGGACCUCCAUGUAGACACCUCUCAAGCAGUAAUCGAGGGACACACCACUGUUCUGAUAUGUACAACCACCUGCAGUCUGACAGUCCAACAUUCAUCUGGUACAAAAAUGGACAUCCUUUAUCCUCCAGUACA